rnacentral:lncRNA from 1 species
CGGCGCAGCGCGCGGCGUCAGUCUUGGCUGGGAGACCUGUACUCCGUACUCCGUACUCCGUAGUCGCAGCGGCGCGGUCUUCGGCAGUCUAGUCAUCCACCGCCAUCCUGGGCCCCACAUGUUGCCUGACCAUUCCUGAGCCCAGGUGGGAGCGGUGGCUGAGGUGACGGUCUCAAAGUGGAAGAGCUUACUGUCACAGCAACUCCUUUGCAAGAUGCCCCGGUAAAUCACGUUGCAGAGACCCCAACUCUGCCUUCCUGGAACUAGGCCUGCGUUUUCUCUGAACCAUUAUUUCAUGGGGAAAAUGAAAUCUACUUCAUGUGCCUGGUCUACUUACUCCUUCAGAAGUGAUUUCUGAGCCGCCAGGAAUAGUUGCUGAACACCCCAGGAUGCUGAGGUCCCUCCUUGAGUCUCAUGUUCAAGCAGUCUUUGUCCAUGAAACUGGGAGGUGACCGUGUUAGCUGCCAGUUCCUGACAGCCACCUCUCACCAGUGGCUUCACUCUGUGUCCCUGACCCAGCACAUGGCACAAGAGUGCCUGCCAUCCCUCAGUGUUUCUACAGCAGCAAUCCCGAGAUGCUGGAGCUAGAGGGGACCUGACCUGAGAGAAGAUACCUUCAGUGGCUGCCAGGCUGUUCCUUGGAACCUGUGCAGGGAUGAGGCCUGCCUGUGUUAAUACACCUAGUGAGGAGUGGAGCUGAAUUUGAAUGCAAGCCUUGGCACCUUAAUUGAGCAAGUUUGAAACCUCGCUUGUUGCCCUUCUGGAAGGAGUCAGGAAUUUCCAGUUCUGGGCCUGGGGCUGUGGGUCUGACAGACAGACCUCUGGCCCUAGGUUUGGGUGCCAGGUUCUCUGCUUCCAGAAUGAGAAGCUUUGCUGUGCACCAGGACCUGGGCCCUUCUGGUAUCUCCUGAAUGAAAAACAAGGGAUAUUUAAUAAAUAUGGAUUUAAAUAUG